GUCUUCUGGCCCAACCCCACUUACUCCUCUGUUCCAUGGUUAUAUAAUGGAAUUGUGAACCGUCCGUGAACUUCAUGCGACAAUGUCUAUCGGUUGCUUGACAAGGGAAAUUUUGAUAGUCCUCCCCCCAUCUUCUCUGCGUCACAUCACGGUCUCAUAAAUCAACCAGGCCAGUUUCUCGAUGAUGUCUAUUAUAUACUCUCUGAAACAAGGAUCCACGAUAAACACUAAAAUAUACAGUGACUAUUCUUCCAUCUUCUCAUUACUAACAAUUAUAUUUUCGAGCAAACAGUCAUUUGUCCAC